UGGCCCGUUAGUUCUCUCUUUCUCUCUGCCGCUGAACGCUUGCUGUGCCUGCUUCGGCGCCCUCGAUCAGAUUCGAUGCCGAUGCCGAAUUCUUCCAAGUUUCUGCAAUUAUAUGGAAAAAGAAGCCAAAAUAUACGUCCAUGAGAAGAGGGAGAGGAAGAAUGCAAUGCAAAAGGAAUGGCCGGGAUGUGUUUGACUUGAGUGGGCUUUUCCAUCGAUGAAAUGGUACAGUAGAAGUGUAAGAGGCCACUUCCUCGCUCUUCAGGUCUAUGACUGGAUGAGUAACUGAGGCGAAAGGUUCUGCUUGUCUGCCAGUGAUUCCGCAAUUUAGCUCGACCUUAUUGGCAAAAUGCGUGGCAUUUCAUCCGCUGAAGAAUUUUUGCUCCGACUCCCUGACAAUUUUAACGGCAGGAGGGUUUAUGUCAGGGCUAAGUCCAGAGAGAAAGCUGAGGAUCAAGGAUCCAGUGAGAACCGUAAACCCUGUGAAUCUCAAGGAUCCAUUGAGAAAAUGGAACAAGAGUAUCAAAUGAAGUCAGACAUAGUCACCAAUCCUAACUGGACCACUUCCAGUAUCAUGCUACCAUGUAUAUUAAGAUGCGAAACCGAGAAAGCUGAAGAUGCAUUGAGGACGGUCGAAGCAAGGAUUAAAAGUCAGUAUUGGAUAUCCUACCAUACCACUACCUCUCGAGUCUGUACGGCAGCAUCGGCAAUAGGAAAGAACUGAACCAGAUGUUGAAUGUCUACAAAUCUGUUUUCCCAGUGUUCCCGACUUGGGUUACCGUGCCUUGAUCUCUGGUGUGAACCAGAGAUAUUGAGGGAGCCGAGAAAGUAUAUGAGGAAUGGCUUCCAGUCAAGUUAUCUUGCGACCCCAGGAUUGCAAAUCUUCUCAUCAAUGCAUAUGUAAAGAACUACCAAGUACAACGGAGGGUUUUCUCGACCAUGUGAUUGAAGUGGGAGGAAAAGUAAGGGAGAUUCUUGCUGAAGGACAUACCACAGAGGGGAUGAUUUCAGAUGCUUUGGCGUUUCUGAAAGAAGAUUUUGUGGCGAAGGAUCAAAUAAUUGGAGGCCAAAGGCGUCAAUGCUGUCUAGCUAAGAAGAAUCCGAUUUUCCUAGUAAAGAAGCCAUUAGGUGGUUGCUGAAGUAAUCUGAGCAUCUUGGAUAGAAAUUUUAUGUGGCUCUUAUUGGUUUGUCAACUGCGGCUGACAUAGUAUAAGGACCAGCCAUGGGUAGAGGUGCAACAAAGGGGAACCUCGAGAACAAUGGAAAUCAUGGUGACGGGGCCAAUGAGCCUCUAAAUGAGCUGGAUUUGUGAUUACUUAUUAAGGCAAAGGGGUUGUGGAUAUAAACUACCUAUGGGGCUCAAGCAAUCUGACGAUGAUAAUCAGCAAUGAUGAACUGAGAAAAGCAGAGAUAUUAUGCUCGAGUUUGCAAGGGAGGUGAAAUGCAGACCACACUUAGGGAUUACUGUGAGUCUGUCUUAUUACCUGUCUUAAUGUUUUUACUUACAUUUUGAAUGAUAAUUUUGUUAGAACUCGGUGUAGGUAUUGGUGUAUUGGGGCUUGAGCAGCCACUUAUUAUGAAUCCAGAGAGAUUUAGAA